rnacentral:rRNA from 1 species
CGUAGACCCGAAACCAGAUGAUCUAUCCAUGGCCAGGCUGAAGGUGUGGUAACACACACUGGAGGGCCGAACCGACUAGUGUUGCAAAAUUAGCGGAUGAGCUGUGGAUAGGGGUGAAAGGCUAAACAAAUCUGGAGAUAGCUGGUUCUCCCCGAAAACUAUUGAGGUAGUGCCUCGUGUAUGGCUCCAGGGGGUAGAGCACUGUUAUGGCUAGGGGGACAUGGCGUCUUACCAAACCAUGGCAAACUCCGAAUACUUGGAAGUCUGAGCACGGGAGACAGAGCACCGGGUGCUAACGUCCGGACUCAAAAGGGAAACAACCCAGACCGCCGGCUAAGGUCCCUAAUAUUGACUAAGUGGAAAACGAAGUGGGAAGGCUAAGACAGUCAGGAAGUUGGCUUAGAAGCAGCCAUCCUUCAAAGAAAGCGUAAUAGCUCACUGAUCGAGUCUUCCUGCGCGGAAGAUGUAACGGGGCUAAGUCAAUAACCGAAGCCGCGGAUUCGCAGCAAUGCGAGUGGUAGGGGAGCGUUCUGUAAGCCUGCGAAGGCGGAUCCGCGAGGACCGCUGGAGGUAUCAGAAGUGCGAAUGCUGACAUGAGUAACGUUAAAGCGGGUGAAAAGCCCGCUCGCCGCAAGCCCAAGGUUUCCUGCUCUACGUUCAUCGGAGCAGGGUGAGUCGGCCCCUAAGGUCAGGCUGAGAAGCGUAGCUGAUGGGAAGCUGGUUAAUAUUCCAGCACCGAUUUCAAGUGCGAAGGGGGGACGGAGUCCUGAAGGUCAUCCGGGUGUUGGAUAUCCCGGUUUACGAGCGUAGGAGGUUGACAGGCAAAUCCGUCAACGAAUCUCCAAGGCGAAGGAUCGAGGUUGAGAGAUCAACUGAAGUGACUGAAUGGGCUUCCAGGAAAAGCCUCUAAGCAUCAGCUUGGAAUUGACCGUACCGCAAACCGACACUGGUGGGCGAGCUGAAUAUGCUCAGGCGCUUGAGAGAACUCAGGAGAAGGAACUCGGCAAAUUGACACCGUAACUUCGGGAUAAGGUGUGCCUUUGUAGUGUGAAGAGAGAAACACUCCGAGCAUGAAGAGGCCUCAGAGAAUCGGUGGCUGCAACUGUUUACUAAAAACACAGCACUCUGCAAAGAUGAAAGUCGACGUAUAGGGUGUGAUGCCUGCCCGGUGCUGGAAGAUUAAUUGAUGGGGUGCAAGCUCCUGAUCGAAGUCCCAGUAAACGGCGGCCGUAACUAUAACGGUCCUAAGGUAGCGAAAUUCCUUGUCGGGCAAGUUCCGACCUGCACGAAUGGCAUAAUGAUGGCCACACUGUCUCCUCCUGAGACUCAGUGAAGUUGAAAUGUUUGUGAUGAUGCAAUCUCCCCGCGGCUAGACGGAAAGACCCCAUGAACCUUUACUGCAGCUUUGCAUUGGACUUUGAACCGAUCUGUGUAGGAUAGGUGGGAGGCAGUGAAGCUAGGACGCCAGUCUUAGCGGAGCCAACCUUGAAAUACCACCCUGAUUUGUUUGAGGUUCUAACCUAGGAGCGUAAUCCGCUUCGGGGACCGUGCAUGGUAGGCAGUUUGACUGGGGCGGUCUCCUCCUAAAGGGUAACGGAGGAGUGCGAAGGUACGCUAGGUACGGUCGGAAAUCGUGCUGAUAGUGCAAUGGCAAAAGCGUGCUUGACUGCGAGACCGACAAGUCGAGCAGAUACGAAAGUAGGUCAUAGUGAUCCGGUGGCUCUGCAUGGAAGGGCCAUCGCUCAACGGAUAAAAGGUACUCUGGGGAUAACAGGCUGAUACCGCCCAAGAGUUCAUAUCGACGGCGGUGUUUGGCACCUCGAUGUCGGCUCAUCUCAUCCUGGGGCUGUAGCCGGUCCCAAGGGUAUGGCUGUUCGCCAUUUAAAGAGGUACGUGAGCUGGGUUUAAAACGUCGUGAGACAGUUUUGUCCCUAUCUGCCGUGGGCGUUGGAAGAUUGACGGGGGCUGCUCCUAGUACGAGAGGACCGGAGUGGACUCACCUCUGGUGUACCGGUUGUCACGCCAGUGGCAUCGCCGGGUAGCUAUGUGGGGAAAGGAUAACCGCUGAAAGCAUCUAAGCGGGAAACCUGCCUGAAGAUAAGUCUUCCUGGAGGCUUUGACCUCCCUGAAGAGUCGUUCGAGACCAGGACGUUGAUAGGUUGGAUGUGCAAGCGCUGUGAGGCGUUGAGCUGACCAAUACUAAUUGCUCGUGAAGCUUGAUCC